UACCGUUUCCUGCUAAAACAUUUUGCAAUUUGAUCGGCUCUUGUGAACUGGAGUUUGCAGUAGAUUUGAAAAUGAAAUUAGUAGGAAGAGGUGUUUGCAUAAACGAUGGUUUAAAUUCCCCAAAUUCACCAUUACCAUCGACGUUCAACUGAAAUGCCAGCAUUAGAACCAGAACUACUAUCACUGAAACUACUCAAAAACCCAUCAUCUGGGCUAUCAACUAAAAAUUGGUCACCAUAGGAGGAGGAUUGAUUGGGUGAAGACAGGUUCUU
rnacentral:misc_RNA from 1 species